CUAAACCAAAAUUAUUUUCACUAUAGGGUGCCUCGCCACUUUACCUCACACAAACUACUCUUUCAGUGCUUCAUUCCCUCUGAGAACCAAACACCGUUCUUCUUCUUCUUCACACAAACUACUCUUUCAGUGCUUCAUUCCCUCUGAGAACGACACAUCGUCACAUCUCCAUCAUUCCAUCUUUUUCAUCGCUAGAAUCUCUUCCAAGUUUUCAUCUCAAUGUUAAUCGCGAUCUCUUCUUCAUCGCUCGAAUCUCUUCCAAGUUUUCGUCUCAAUGUUAAUCGCAAUCUGAAUCCUUUUCUCGGACAAGCUAGUGCUGAUUUUGAUUGAAAUCUGAAUUGUGCUCUAAUCAUCUGUUAUAGAUAGAAGUAGGAGGUGAUUCUGAUUUGAGGAGUGAAGUUAGAAGGAAAGUUCAACCUAGGGCUGCAACAUUUGGGAGACAGAGGUUUGAUUGGUUUGAUUAGGUCUUGAAAUUCUUGAUGGAAAGGAAUAGUGUCAAUGCCCUUCAUGGUCAUGUUACAAGUGGAACACUGAUUCUGCAGGAUUGUGCUGUUAGUUUGCUCUUUGCAUUGCUUCCAGUAUUGGGUGGAACAUCAGGUGUUCUUCAAGGAGUAACAUACAUGACUAAAUCUUACUUAUUUAGUUAUUCCUUGAGAUUAUGAGAUAGGGGAGAAAGGGUUAACCUGAGUGGAGGCCAGAAGCAACGGAUUCAACUUGGUCGUGCUCUUUACUAGAAUGUUAAUAUAUACCUCUUGGAUGAUCCAUUCAGUGCUAUUGAUGCACAUAUUGCCACAAAUCUUUUUAAUGAAUACAUCAUGUAAGGACUUGCAAGAAAGACAGUUUUGCUUGUCACUCAUCAAGUUGAUUUUCUUCCUGAAUUUGAUUCUGUUUUGGUAAAAUGUUGAUGUCAAACGGUGAAAUCCUACAAGCUGCUUCUUAUCAUGAUCUGUUGGCCUCAAGUCAAGAAUUUCAGGACCUUGUCAAUGCUCACAAAGAGACUGCUGGUUUUGACCGGCUUAUGGAUGCUACUUCUUCUCAGAAAAAUUCUAAUUCUGCAGUAAAGAUUAGAAAAACUUAUGUGGAGAAGCAGUUUGAUGCAUCAAAAGGAGAUUAGCUAAUCAAGGAAAAAAGAGAAAGAGAAAGGAAACCAAGGCUGCCAAUGUUGACAAUCCUCAUGUCAGCACUUUGAAAUUAAUUUUAGUGUACUUGUUGAUUGGAUUUACUUUAACAUUAUUCUUGUUGGUGAUAUAAAAUAGUCAUUUAUUUUUGAUCAUUA